rnacentral:lncRNA from 1 species
AUGACUCUUGGAAAGACCUCCCUCGAGAUGCCUUGGGAUGAUUUGCUUUGCUUGCGUUCUUCCCACAUGCCAGUGCUACAAAUUGGCAGAAGAACAGGGCAGGGAAGGGGCUGGGUGGCUUCCCGGGCCCGAGGAGGGAAGCAGAGGGCUCAGGACACUGGAGAAUGGGUGCUCCCCACCAGUCCUUGCUUGCUUUCUUCUCCYGUACAGGUCCCAUGGGGGACGCUGGGCUCCCCACUCUGCAAGCCGUUCAUCCGUGCUGCCGGCUAUGCUGAGYCAGCAUCUCUUGGCACAUCAGUCUCCUCCCUGGCACCACAGGAUGUGGGUCCAGGACACGGGGGCAGCAAAUGGCUUGGAGAGAGCUUUGCGUUGGGAAGAUCGAAGGACCCAGGCACUGGCAAGGCUGAGCGCCCAGCCCUCCCCUCCUGCCCGCUGCCGCGCGGGGUGCAGUGGCCCCCCAAGUCGUUGCAGGCUCUCACUGCCAGGGCAGAUGGGACGCCGCGUGGGACUGCCGCUGUGGGUGGGCGAGCGAGCGGGAUGAAAGGCGCGCCACCGUCGGAGUGCAUGCUCGCCAAGCUGUUUUGCACACGGCUCAUCGCGAAAUACUUCCAGCUGCGCCGCAGCUGCCCCAGGCCCUGCCCUACAGCACCCUCCGCGAGCCCCCCGGCUCCCCAUGCCACCCGCCAUGGUCUCGGGGUCCUCGCUGCCACCCAGCAGCGUCCCAGCUCCCAGGCUUCUCCGGCCCCCUGGGAGCAGCCGCGAGCAACACUCACCCCACCUCCGCGGACCCCUGGCAGCACCGCUGCGGCUGCCAGGUUUUUGUCGAGCUGCUCCAUCGCUUCCCACCCAUCCUUUUCUCAGCGGCCUCCGCAUUUCCCAACCAUCCCCACCCACCUCCAGCCCCGUAACGCAUACCCGGGAUGCUGGCUCAGCUCUACCCACCGCACAAACACCCUUCCUCGUCUUGGGGCUGGAUACAGCCAGGAAAGGCAGAGCAGCUCCCCGGCAGCCUCCCUGGCACACGCCRCCAGGUAUGUGCCAGGGGAUGCAUCCCCCAGCAAACAGCCCGCAUGCCUCCCAUCUCCUGCCCAAAAGACCUUCUCUGCUGGGGGAUCUACGUUCACCAGGAGGGCUUGCAGGAGUGCUUGCACGGGCGGAUUCUGCCUGCCCGCCUUGUGCUCGCAGGUUUCCAUGAGCUCCGCAAGCUGCAUCUGA